CCUACGGGCGGCAGCAGUGAGGAAUAUUGGUCAAUGGGAGAGAUCCUGAACCAGCCAAGCCGCGUGAGGGAAGACGGCCCUAUGGGUUGUAGACCUCUUUUGUCGGGGAACAAAACCCGGGACGUGUCCCGGACUGCGUGUAUCCGAAGUACACGCAUCGGCUAACUCCGUGCCGGCAGCCGCGGUAAUAGGGAGGAUGCGAGCGUUAUCCGGAUUUCUUGGGGUGAAAGGGUGCGUAGGCGGUCCGUUAAGUCAGCGGUAAACUUGCGGGGCUCAACCCCGUCGAGCCGUUGAUACUGGCAGACUAGAGUUGGCGAGAAGUACGCGGAAUGCGAGGUGUAGCGGUGAAAUGCACAGAUAUCGCGCAGAACACCGAUUGCGAAGGCAGCGUACCGGCGCCAGACUGACGCUGAGGCACGAAAGCGUGGGGAUCGAACAGGAUUAGAUACCCUUGUAGUC
rnacentral:rRNA from 1 species